UGUCAAUUGAAACUGAAAAUACAGUUUUACCCAUACUUUUAACAAUCAUUUAACAUAAAUCUUACUUUUGGACUAAAUUUGCUAACAUUCUUGACCACAGGGGUUUAAUUACUAGUUUUUUCACCACGAGAGUCAUCAUGCAAGUUUCCUACGACCACAGGAUGAAUAAUCCAAUUUGGCCUAAAAUUUAAUUAAAAUUGAAAAAUAAAAAAAAAAAGAAAAGAAAACGAAACGACAUAUACGCCUACCAACAGCCUCCCCCAAUCGUUUUUGCAAAUCUCCCUGCAAUCCUUCAAAGAAACCCUUAACCCUCAUCAUCCUGCAUCCAUCAAAUUGCAGGGUCUCAAACUUCCCUUCAAUUUCAAAAUUCGAACCUCUCCCGCAAGUCAAAAGUUGCAAGCUACAUCCCUCCUUCCUUCUCUGAUCCAACCGCGAGGCAAGAUCAGAGAGAGGAAAGGAAAGAAAUCUUAGCCAAUUGUGAGGAGCAGCGAUGACGGCAAUGGCGUGGUUGCAGUGGUUGGCGGCGAUGGGUUGUGUAGUUGCAGUCGGUGGUUAUCCAGUAAUGGUUUUUAUUUUUUAGUUUUUUAAUUAAUUUAUGAAAAGUUAACAGUGUUAAGUUUGGUGUUAAGUUAAUAGAUAUGUGUCAAUAAUUAAGAAAGAGACAAAUGAGACAUCAAAUUGGGGACAGCAGAUUCCUAGUUGGGUGCUUUUGUUUUGUGGUUGUAAAAAGUUUGAGUUUGGGGAAGCAAAUAAUUCAGGUAAGGAAAUGUGGAGCAUACGUGGAUUUUAUGCGAAAUUAAAUCCCGACGUUGACUCUUUUGGGGUUGCCAUAUAAAUAUAAGAGAAAUGUUAGGGUGCAUAAAUUUUUUUUUUUGUAAAAUUUACAAAUUAAAUGAUGUAUUAUCAAUAAGAAUGAUUAUGUUUGUCAAUGCUUAA